AUGGCAGUGGCGAGUACCUCUUCGGCUCUCCGGCUCCAGCCUCUCCUCCUCAUACUCCUACUCGCUGCCACCAGCGAGGCCACCACAUUCAAAAUCAUCAACCAAUGCUCCUACACCGUGUGGCCAGCCGCUCUGCCGGGAGGUGGCGUGAAGCUCGAUCCGGGGGAGGCGUGGGCGCUGAACAUGCCCGCUGGUACCUCAACAGGGCGCAUCUGGCCGCGCACAGGCUGCUCACUCCUUGACGAAGGCGGGUCAUGCCAAACUGGCGACUGCAGCGGCUUGCUCACCUGUACGGCCAGUGGUCGAUCGCCAAGCACGCUGGGCGAGUUCAGUCUUGGCCAAGGCCAAAUUGAUGAUUUCUUCGACAUCUCGCUCAUUGAUGGCUUCAACGUGCCCAUGGACUUCCUGCCGGUGCCGGUUCAGGGAAGGUCAGGGUGCAGCAAGGGGCCGCGCUGUGCAGCCAACAUCACAUCGCAGUGCCCAAGAGAGCUAAAGGCUCCGGGAGGGUGUAGCAAUGCAUGUACUGGGAGCACGGCAAGCCGUUGCAACACAAGUUACUCGGCCUUCUUUAAGCAGAUGUGCCCAGAUGCCUACAGCAAGCCUGAUGAUACAUCCACUUACUCUUGCCCGUCGGGCACAAAGUACCAGGUCAUCUUCUGUCCCCUGAUUAAUCAAACACUCUCACCUACAGCUGAAAGUCCCCUGCCUGCACCCCCAGCCGAGGCAACACCUCCGACCCCAAGUACUCUACCUACAACUAUUGGGCCAACAAGCAUGAAACCGAAAUCCCCCUCUGGAAGAAGAGUUGUUGCAAUUCUAGCUCCUGUAGGCGGCUUCAUUUUGCUCACCAUCUUGUUCCUCGUCGCCUUCUUUAUAUGUAAACGAAGAACACAACAACAUGAGAUGGAAGAAGAGGAAGAGUUUGGGGAGCUACAAGGAACACCAAUGAGGUUCACAUUUCAACAGCUAAGAGCAGCAACCGAGCAAUUUGCAGACAAGCUCGGGGAAGGAGGAUUUGGGUCUGUUUUCAAGGGACAGUUUGGUGGUGAAAGGAUUGCAGUAAAACGUUUGGAUCGAACUGGUCAGGGCAAAAGAGAAUUUUCGGCAGAGGUUCAAACAAUUGGCAGCAUUCAUCAUAUUAAUCUGGUGAGAUUGAUUGGUUUCUGUGCAGAGAAAUCCCACAGGCUCUUGGUAUAUGAGUACAUGCCCAAAGGAUCCUUGGACAGAUGGAUCUAUUGUCGACAUGACAAUGAUGCUUCUCCUCUAGAUUGGAGCACGCGGUGCAAGAUUAUCACUCAUAUAGCUAAGGGCCUCUCGUAUCUUCAUGAGGAGUGCACAAAACGAAUUGCUCAUUUGGAUGUCAAACCACAAAACAUCCUCUUAGAUGACGACUUCAAUGCUAAACUUUCUGAUUUUGGACUAUGCAAGCUCAUUGACAGGGAUAUGAGCCAAGUGGUUACCAGAAUGCGAGGCACACCUGGGUAUUUAGCUCCUGAAUGGUUGACAUCACAGAUCACGGAAAAGGCAGAUGUCUAUAGCUUUGGCGUUGUGGUCAUGGAAAUCAUGAGUGGAAGAAAGAACCUUGACACUUCACGGUCAGAGGAGAGCAUUCAUCUCAUUACCCUAUUGGAGGAAAAGGUGAAGAGUGAUCGGUUGGUAGAUUUGAUUGACAAUAAAAGCGCCGACAUGCAAGCACACAAGCAAGAUGUAAUUCAGAUGAUGAUGCUUGCAAUGUGGUGCUUGCAGAUUGAUUGCAAAAGAAGGCCUAAAAUGUCCGAGGUAGUAAAAGUAUUGGAAGGUGCGAUGAAUAUAGACAUCAACAUAGAUCAUAACUUUGUUGUGAAUCCAGCAAAUUUUGGUAGUGCUGGAAAUGUGAGCUCUUCAGCUCCACCUCUAGCUUCAGAUGUAUCAGGCCCCAGGUGA
rnacentral:rRNA from 1 species